rnacentral:rRNA from 1 species
CGCGGUCUCUACUCAAGUCUAAAUGACUCUCGGCAACGGAUAUCUCGGCUCUUGCAUCGAUGAAGAACGUAGCGAAAUGCGAUACUUGGUGUGAAUUGCAGAAUCCCGCGAACCAUCAAUUCUUUGAACGCAAGUUGCGCCCGAAGCCAAUCGGCCGAGGGCACGCCUGCCUGGGCGU